AUACACCAAGAGAAGGAUUUGAGUUUUGUUAGUUUGUUGGUGCAAUGAAUAACAUAGUCUUUCAGCAGGGGGUAAUAUCUGUAAAUUGCUAGUUUAGACAUACUGUAUGUUGGCCAAAAAAAAAAAAAAAUGCUAUGUGGUUAUAAUGAGUGGCGGUGUACUGAGAAGGUAUAAUUGAUAACAUUAUUGUAGGGUGGUAUCUGAGUAAGCCGUAUUCAGAGCAGGCCACUGAAAUGAAUGGACUUAAGUUAUGACUAACUUCAAGUCAUUGGGUUUACUCUGCAUAUGACAUGGUCUCCCAUUAUUUCUUCAAGCGUUUUAUGAUAUCACUGAGAAUAGGAUCAGACCUUUGAUAGGCUCAUCCAGUUAUUUCAUAGCUGCGUUUUUUAAAAUAACAGUAAUUGUGGAAGAGAAAUGAAUUUGUGUAUUAGCCUUAUUAUGGUGUUUACUAUGAAGACUUGGUAGAUGGUACAAAAGAAGAGUUUCAUCUAACCAUGUUGUAGUUAGUACAGAGUCAAUGGACCUCACACUUUUUUAGCAUCGAAAUAUGGAAGCAAAUUAAACUUGUACCAUGAUCCAGGCUAUCUAUAAGGUUUUUCUUCAAACCUAUCUCUAUGGAUACAGUACCUUUAAUGAAUGACACAUUGAAAACAAAUGCCUUCAUAAUCCUCUGCCAGCAUAAAGAGCAGUUGGCAGGUGAUGAUUAAGGUGGUUUUUCAUUAAAGCCAGACAAACUUAUAGAUUUAUUUGAGGGGAAUGCCUCUCUUGACUGAAACCUGGACCAUUUUUUAAAAGUUCAAAUGCAGAAAUGUGGUAUUUCACUUCAGGAUUAUUAGGAGAUCUAAGGGGAUAAAUAGAAUUGCAAAUCAUUUUGGCAGGUUUUGGCUUUGGGUGUAGUGGGCUACAAUUCAUGGAGCUCCCUGAAGUCUGAAAUAAAAUGAAAGAACACAUCAUGCUAGAAGCAUCAUGUCUUCAUAUAUCAAAAUUUUCUCCCUUAUUUUACAAGUUUGUAACUUGGUAUUUUUUUUUAAAAGAAAUCUUGUUCUGAGAGAUCACCAAAACCUGAGAGAAGCAUUUACAUAAUUUAUUUUUAAAGAACUUUAACAUUAAAGCUUACCUUUGAAAGGUAAAGAUUGAAUACACUGUUUAAAAAUGCCAAUAAAAACCUCAUUUAUUUCAUAUAUGCAAGUUGAUUUGCACAUCUAUAAAUAUGCUUUUCAGUACAUUUCACCUAGUUCUGAUCAUUUGUCUCUCUUGUGGUUCAUAGAAGCAGUUGUGGUUGGGGGGGGGUUUGGUUUCUGCAUGGCAGUGUUGAAGCACAUUCUGCUAAUAUGUGUGCCUUUUAUUUUAUUUUUUAUUUUAAAUUAAUUGUGUGUUUGGGAUGUGAACAUUGCCUGAGCAAUUAUAAUGGAACACUAAUUUGAGGAUUUAUAUACUUUCUGUAAAUAUUGGUAUGAUUUAUAAAGAGUAUUUUUUAAUAUUGGUGAAAAGACAAAGCAAAAGUACGUACUACAAGCUGCAACAACUCAAAGAGAAUGCUACCUAUUGAUAUUUGUACUUGAAUGUUUGUGUCUAAACACAAUGCGCUUAUAUAUGAUGCAUUAUCCAUGCUAAAUCUUAGUAAAGGAGGGAGGAGAGAAUAUAGUUAGCUAAUGCCCAUCUGCCUGGUCUUAAAUGGUUUGGUAGUGUACUUUUCAUGUUCCAAGUGACAGGAAAUUGCUGACGUCCAAUAUCAAAGAACUAGAAAUGUAAAUUGGUAUGUACAUGCUUUUUCUCUCUCUCAAAAGAAUGCAGUUCAGUAUGUUCUUCUAUAAAUUACUAGUACUUCACUGGCAUGAUCUUUUGAAGAAAUAGGUUAUUUUCUUGACGUUCUUAGCACAAACUUUCGCAGGUAUGAAGGCGCUCCAAUUAAGUUAUUCACAUUUAGUAGUAUGUAAGGUUGACCACAUGAGCACUCAAGAAGUUGUUUAGAGAGGAAAGUCCCCUCUUUUUCUUCAAAGGAGGUGUAAUUGCUCAUUCCUGUAGCAUCAGAGGGUGCAUGGCCCCUAGCUCAAGUUCACACAGCUACCAUGGCAUGCUAUGUGCUUCUAACGUUCGCACCACUCUUGUAGAAUAAGGAUUAUCAGAAGCCUAACACCAAGUCACAAGGAGCAGCCUAACCUCCUCAAGCAAGCAAGCAAGUGCACAAAGACUGGUGUUGUAUGGGUCUACCUAUGCACUUCCUUAAAAAUAGUCAGAUAUACUACAGGAUAAAUUUAAAAGUCGUGACACUUGUAAUCUGAGUAGCACUGGGCUUCCUUCUUUUUACAAAUUGUCACAGAGAAGAACCUUGCCUACCAACAUGACUGAACACUCACAUGUUAUUUUGUCAGUGUGGCUCUGGUUAUAUAGCUGUCCAAUAUGGAGAAUUUUUAGAGUGUGUAAGUAGGCCCUAAGUCAAUUUCUCUGAAAAGUCUAUGGAAACUUCCAUUUGUAACUGGGGAUAAAAAUGUAUUUAGCAUUGUAAUUAAUCAUUCAGCAUUUUAUACCUUGAUGGUACGAUGCCCACGGCUUGUCUGACAGGCUGCUUAGUUUUAAAAAAAGUACUUGGGAGCAAUUCAGGGACAGUUCACUACGUUUCCCCCCCAAUAACUUUUGUUGCAAAAGUUCUGAGGCACACAAUUGAAUUAACUACAUAACGCAGUGCCCCCCCCCCCCCGUAAUUAGUGCCUUUGUUUUUGUAUUUUUGACAGUGAGCUUUCUAAAGAAAGAAUAGCCUUCAUACAGGUUCUGAAUUGAAAAGGGUGUCAUGACUGCUACAAAAUCACUGUGCAUUCACAAUGGAUGUUAGUAGUAGUAAUUGUGAUGGGUUAUGCCUGAAGAUUAUAAUUCUCAAUAGGUUUCAUACAAUACUAGAUGAUUGCUUUCAGCCUUUUGGGCAAAGUAGAGGCCAUUCAUAUUCUAGGUAACUCCUGUUUAUUUAGUGCAACAAGUGAAGAGAGUUAUUGUUGAGAAGGCAUUUAUAGCUGGUCCCUUGCACCCUUUGAUAAAAAUCUUAUAUUUUAUCCACAAUAAGAACCUUUAAAAAAAAAAGUCUUAUUCAAGGGAGGCAUCUUCCAACAAUCCAUCUUAAUCUAUCAAAUGGCUUUUCCUUUU